GAGUCUUACAUAAAUGGGUGGUCAUCCAAUACUUUUUUUAUUCCCAACAUAGACACCCUUCUAACAUUUGUCUGUUUAUCCUUGACAGUAAUGUAACCGCCCAGAGCAUGCAUCUGUAUCAAACAAUAGCCAAGAUAAAAGAUAGAUGAAGCUGCACCAGAUAGUCUUAAUUUUCAUCUGCAGCUUGUAAUCUUCAUCUUUAAUUGUAGACAAAGAAAUCUAUCCACUGAUGAUGUCGCCAAACAUUUAAAAAAAAAAUUCAUAAACUGCUCUUGGAUUUGCUUUGCAGACACAGUGGGAAUGGAUUUAGAACAUUCUAAUUUUUUUUAUUUUACACGAGCCUUGUGAUGCAAAACUGUGCGCACAGUUUACAAAUCUGUGCAUCCCAGUGUAUCAUGGAGGGGAUUUCUAAACAGCUUCUUUUUCUUACUCGAGCCUUGAGGGGCUUUGAAAAAGGGAGAAAGGAAAACAGCCUUUUUUGUGAAAUAAAAUUGAUUUUUACAAGAUAAAAAACUAGUUUACCCUGGUUUCUGAAAUAGAUGCAUUUAAGACACAGUAAGAUCUUUCUCUGCUUCCAUGAGCAACAAUAUCAAUAUUUCUCAAAAAUGAAAGCUUUGGAUGUGCAACGUGUUUUAACUCUCUGUAUAGCGAGGUAGCUCUUUGAUGAACAAGUUCACACAGUCUUUGGCAGAAUUGAUUUAUUUGUAAUUGAAAGUUCAGGAUCAACAUGAUUCAGGUCUAAAAUGUCUGAAGUUCUGGUUUUAGAAUAAGGGAGUGCAGCUGUUGCAUCAUGUUACUUUUCUUCCAGCCUCCACCUCCUCCAGGCAGCUGAAGGAAACCAGCGAAGAAAAGAGCCCCUGCAAUUAAGUCUGAAUUUACCUCUGAGCAGCCCACUCUGCAUGUUGGAACACUGACCCUCCACGCUUCUCAUCCUCCAACACGGCUGAGUGGGUGGGAUGCAUCCCAGUUUAUUCUAAGAGUUCCUUCCACCACCCAGCUCAUCUCGGAGGAUACACAGCUCGCAUGAAUCUGUGGAUUGUUUGGAGGACUCAGACACGGUCAGGGCAAACAUCUCUGCAAAAGUCAGAUUGUCAACUACAUAGAGGAUCAUCUCGCUGACUCUGAUGGAACUUCGCUCAUUUCAAGUAUUAAAAUUUGACUCUGCCUCGCCGUCACAUCGGACUCAAGGAACUCAGAGGACAACACGUCAACCUAAGAUGUAUUUUUGGGCCUUUUUGCCUUUAUUGGAAAGGACAGCUGAAGAGAGAGAUGGAAGUGUUGGAAGGAGAGAGGAGGGGAUGACAUGCAGCAAAGGGCCGAGGUCGGAUUUGAACCCGCAGCCGCUGCGACGAGGACUACUGCCUCUGUACA